GACGAACGCUGGCGGCGUGCCUAAUACAUGCAAGUCGAACGCAGUGGGGACGGGUGAGUAAAACGUGGGUAACCUCCCAUCAGAGGGGAUAACACUUGGAAAAAGGUGCUAAACCGCUACUGAUGGAUGGACCCGCGGUGCAUAAGCUAGUUGGUGAGGUAACGUCUCACCAAGGCCACGAUGCAUAGUCGACCUGAUAGGGUGAUCGGCCACACUGGGACUGCGACACGGCCCCGACUCCUACGUGCGGCAGACGUGGGGAAUCUUCGGCAAUGGGCGAAAGUCUGACCUAGCAACGCCGCGUGAGUGAAGAAGGUUUUCGGAUCGUAAAACUCUGUUGUUGGAGAAGCGGUAUCUAACCAGUAAGCCUCGGCUAACUACGUGCCAGCCGCCGCGGUAAUUC
rnacentral:rRNA from 1 species